UACGUAGGGGGGCAAGCGUUGUCCGGAUUCAUUGGGCGUAAAGAGCGUGUAGGCGGCCAGGUAGGUCGGUUGUGAAAACUGGAGGCUCAACCUUCAGAGGUCGACCGAAACCAUCUGGCUAGAGUCCGGGAGAGGAGAGUGGAAUUCCUGGUGUAGCGGUGAAAUGCGCAGAUAUCAGGAAGAACACCCGUGGCGAAAGCGGCUCUGUC
rnacentral:rRNA from 1 species